rnacentral:tRNA from 1 species
AGGGAUGUGGCUCAAGUGGUAGAGCACUUGCCUAACAAGUGGGAGGUCCUGAGUUCAAUUUUUAGUUACCCUC